GGCCCCCAAUCCAGAUCCCUAAUUCCUGCUCCCGGCCAGAAGACGGAUGGGAAAAGUUGUCGACAGUUUUAGUCGACAUUGUGUCAGUUGUCUGUCCUCCGGCAUUUGCUUUUCCCACAAUCUCACAAUCUCUGCCAUUUUGAGGGGAAAGUGAACUGAACCGAGCAUCACGAAUGUGUGUGUGCGGACAGUUUGUGGCCUUUUGAAACGCUCUCGUAUGGAAAUGUUUAGAAAACUUGCCACACAAUAGUUUCCACAUAAAAACUGCUUGGAUUAUAUGGCAGAGAACGUGCAGGAAAUGCCCCAAAAGGAUUUUGCGGCUUUAGCAGCCACCAUAAUAAAUUUGGAUGCCUAACGAGCGACUGCCUCGGGUUGCACAAAUGUGGCAUAAUUCUAAUUGCUCUCGCAGGUUAAGUUGGUUAAAAUGCACGAAGGGGUUACCUACAACGUUGCUCAAUUCCACUCUUUGUUUCUUAAAUAAUAUUUCUAUUCAUUUCUAUUCAAUUUAUAUUUGUAUUACCUUUCAAACUUUAGGUGUCUAGCAACCUUUUAAACUAAAUGAAAUAUUUCGGCAUUUACCAAUAGAAGUUUUCCUUUUUAAACUAUUUAACUAAUUUGUUUUAGUUGGUCCUCAACCAUUUGCUUCUACGUGUCUAAUAUAAUCUGUCCCAAGUGCAUUUACCCUUAAUUUAUGAGGCCUCCUUCUUCGAGUCCAUUGGAAAUAGACCUUAUCGAGCAUGAGUUUACCCUGAUGUCUGAGCCCAGCACGCCAUAAAUUGACUUCCGUUUGCAUUUCUAAUUAAAGCAGUUAGGCCAAGAAGAGAGCUGGCCGAAAGGAGCAUUACACUUAACUAGGACUGCUUCACAUGACCUUCUGCCACAUACACGCAAAAGGUUAAUUCCGCACCAACGGGCCAAGAACAAAUCCCCUUCUACGCUUUUCCAAGUGGAGCGGUCACGCCCCUUCGGUGCCAAACAAUGGGGUGAAAAUUUAAAUGCGAGUUUUGGCCAAAAGUGCUGGUGCUGUAAGUCGAAAGCAAACUCAAUUUGUUGCUUCUAAAGUUAAAUGAAUGUCAGAAAUUUUUAAAGCUUUCGGUUGGUGUUCUUGCCUCUUUGCUUUAAAUCUCCAUGGAGCGUUUCCACUUAAUUUCAUCGUAAUUGGUAGAGAAUUUUUCGCGAGAGCUGUUGUUGGUUUAUUGCAUGUCAAAAGCAUUUUAAGCCCUGCGUUUCGGCCGUGAUGUUGACUUGGCUUGAUUGUUGAUAGCGAGUUUUUUGGUUGCUGGUGUGAGCGGUGGUGUUGCCCUGGAGUUUAUUGAAGCCUCAGUUUCCAGCUGGCUUGAUUCACAAUAUCUGGGUCAGUCGCCUUAAACGCCCAACAAAUUUCGAUGGCAUGUUAAAGAACAAUGCAGGUCGCCAUAAACAAAGUAUUAAUGUGAUUCUAAAAUACCCGGCUAAGUUUUCAAAUGCACGCUCUUUGAAAAUCUAAAAUUUAAAUUUUCCUUUACUUAAGUGCGAUAUUCUA